AGUGAACGCUGGCGGUAGGCCUAACACAUGCAAGUCGAACGGCAGCACAGUAAGAGCUUGCUCUUACGGGUGGCGAGUGGCGGACGGGUGAGGAAUACAUCGGAAUCUACUUUUUCGUGGGGGAUAACGUAGGGAAACUUACGCUAAUACCGCAUACGACCUACGGGUGAAAGCAGGGGAUCUUCGGACCUUGCGCGAUUGAAUGAGCCGAUGUCGGAUUAGCUAGUUGGCGGGGUAAAGGCCCACCAAGGCGACGAUCCGUAGCUGGUCUGAGAGGAUGAUCAGCCACACUGGAACUGCGACCCGGUCCAGACUCCUACGGGAGGCAGCAGUGGGGAAUAUUGGACAAUGGGCGCAAGCCUGAUCCAGCCAUACCGCGUGGGUGAAGAAGGCCUUCGGGUUGUAAAGCCCUUUUGUUGGGAAAGAAAAGCAGCAGGUUAAUACCCCGCUGUUCUGACGGUACCCAAAGAAUAAGCACCGGCUAACUUCG
rnacentral:rRNA from 1 species